rnacentral:misc_RNA from 1 species
CCGAGUUUUCUACUCCCAAACCCCUGUGAACUUAUACCUUUACCGUUGCUUCGGCGGGUUAACGCCCCGGAAAGGCCCCCGAAAGGGAGCCGCCCCGGAACCAGGCGCCCGCCGGGGGACCCAAACUCUUGCUUUGAACAGUGGCAUACUCUCUGAGUCUCACAAACAAAAAUGAAUCA